rnacentral:rRNA from 1 species
GAUGAACGCUGGCGGCGUGCCUAAUACAUGCAAGUCGAGCGAACAGACGAGGAGCUUGCUCCUCUGACGUUAGCGGCGGACGGGUGAGUAACACGUGGAUAACCUACCUAUAAGACUGGGAUAACUUCGGGAAACCGGAGCUAAUACCGGAUAAUAUAUUGAACCGCAUGGUUCAAUAGUGAAAGACGGUUUUGCUGUCACUUAUAGAUGGAUCCGCGCCGCAUUAGCUAGUUGGUAAGGUAACGGCUUACCAAGGCAACGAUGCGUAGCCGACCUGAGAGGGUGUACGGCCACACUGUAACUGAGACACGGUCCAGAGUCCUACGGGAGGCACGAGUAGGGAAUCUUCCGCAAUGGGCGAAAGCCUGACGGAGCAACGCUGCGUGAGUAAUGAAGGUCUUCGUAUCGUAAAACUCUGUUAUUAGGGAAGAACAAAUGUGUAAGUAACUAUGAACGUCUUGACGGUACCUAAUCAGAGAGCCACGGCUAACUACGUGCCAGCCGCCGCCGUAA